GGCGAACAGCCAUCAAAAUACUAAUUCAAAAUACACAAAAAUGGGUGCGCGCAGCAAAAUUCAGCCCUAAUGGCGAAUGUAUGCGAACGUUUACCGGGGGAAGACAGCUGGCAUGGCAUCCAGACGGCAAUCUGGUGGCUUUAGCAUUAAGUUGUAACCGCGUUAAGAUAUUUGACAAAGCUGAAGGCGAGCUAAUACAGUGCAUUCGUCGCCGGAGAAUGAUGUUGCAUUUCACCCAAGUGGAAAUUUCUUGGGGACUGGCGGCGAUGACGAUACAAUAAGAUUGCUUGAUUUAUUAGAAGGUCGGCCAAUUUAUACACGGUAGUAGGGCACUGUAGCGGAACCAGGUCAAAAUGGACGGGAAAAUUAUACACUAACUGGCUACUAAGUUUGCGCUGUCGCUUUCUCUCCACAUGGUAGACAUUUUGCUUCCGCGGGCGAGAAUCGACGGUUGCUCGUUUGGAAAUCUAAUUUGCAUACAUUUGAUGCCAAUAGCGCUCGCAACAAACAAGCCAGUUCUCAAAGAGUCCAAAUUGAUUUUAGUCAUGCAACUGCUCCACAUAACUCCGCCAUAGACACACCAGUUGCUGGAGUACCAAAAAGCUGUGAUGAAGGUAUUUUAAUUGAUCCACGACAAUCGGUGGCAUAUGGAAUGCGUGAUCGAAAUUUUCUGGUGCUUGAUAGCCAAUAUACUACAAGAGUGAAACGCUACAAGUGAAAUGCUGUGAUAGUAAUUUUUCUUAAAUUUCCAUCUUUUAUAUGCAGUUACAUUAAGAAGCUCAUAGAGGACAGAGCUGUUGGUGAGGA